ACAUGCAAGUCGAACGCACUUUCGUUGAAUGAAUUAGAGGUGCUUGCACCGAAGAUGAUUUUAGCUAUAAAGUGAGUGGCGAACGGGUGAGUAACACGUGGGUAACCUGCCCAGAAGUGGGGGAUAACACCUGGAAACAGAUGCUAAUACCGCAUAACAAAGUAAACCGCAUGGUUUACUUUUAAAAGAUGGCUUCGGCUAUCACUUCUGGAUGGACCCGCGGCGUAUUAGCUAGUUGGUGAGAUAAAGGCUCACCAAGGCAGUGAUACGUAGCCGACCUGAGAGGGUAAUCGGCCACAUUGGGACUGAGACACGGCCCAGACUCCUACGGGAGGCAGCAGUAGGGAAUCUUCCACAAUGGACGAAAGUCUGAUGGAGCAACGCCGCGUGAGUGAUGAAGGCUUUAGGGUCGUAAAACUCUGUUGUUGGAGAAGAACGUGUGUGAGAGUAACUGCUCAUGCAGUGACGGUAUCCAACCAGAAAGCCACGGCUAACUACGUGCCAGCAGCCGCGGUAAUACGUAGGUGGCAAGCGUUAUCCGGAUUUAUUGGGCGUAAAGCGAGCGCAGGCGGUCUUUUAAGUCUAAUGUGAAAGCCUUCGGCUUAACCGAAGAAGUGCAUUGGAAACUGGAAGACUUGAGUGCAGAAGAGGACAGUGGAACUCCAUGUGUAGCGGUGAAAUGCGUAGAUAUAUGGAAGAACACCAGUGGCGAAGGCGGCUGUCUGGUCUGUAACUGACGCUGAGGCUCGAAAGCAUGGGUAGCGAACAGGAUUAGAUACCCUGGUAGUCCAUGCCGUAAACGAUGAAUGCUAAGUGUUGGAGGGUUUCCGCCCUUCAGUGCUGCAGCUAACGC
rnacentral:rRNA from 1 species